rnacentral:rRNA from 1 species
CCUACGGGAGGCAGCAGUGGGGAAUUUUGGACAAUGGGCGCAAGCCUGAUCCAGCAAUGCCGCGUGAGUGAAGAAGGCCUUCGGGUUGUAAAGCUCUUUUGUCAGGGAAGAAACGGUGGGAGCUAAUAACUUCUGCUAAUGACGGUACCUGAAGAAUAAGCACCGGCUAACUACGUGCCAGCAGCCGCGGUAAUACGUAGGGUGCAAGCGUUAAUCGGAAUUACUGGGCGUAAAGCGUGCGCAGGCGGUUGUGCAAGACAGAUGUGAAAUCCCCGGGCUCAACCUGGGAAUUGCAUUUGUGACUGCACGGCUAGAGUGUGUCAGAGGGGGGUAGAAUUCCACGUGUAGCAGUGAAAUGCGUAGAGAUGUGGAGGAAUACCGAUGGCGAAGGCAGCCCCCUGGGAUAACACUGACGCUCAUGCACGAAAGCGUGGGGAGCAAACAGGAUUAGAUACCCUGGUAGUCCACGCCCUAAACGAUGUCUACUAGUUGUCGGGUCUUAAUUGACUUGGUAACGCAGCUAACGCGUGAAGUAGACCGCCUGGGGAGUACGGUCGCAAGAUUAAAACUCAAAGGAAAUUGACGG